rfam:Triticum aestivum genome assembly, contig: Triticum_aestivum_CS42_TGACv1_scaffold_050165_1BS
UAUGUACUCUCUCCGUCCCGAAAUACUUGUCGGAGGAAUGGAUAUAUCUAGACAUAUUUUAAUUUUAGAUACAUCCAUUUUUAUGCAUUUCUUCGAUGAGUAUUUCCGGACGGAGGGAGUAGUAC